AGAGUUUGAUCAUGGCUCAGAUUGAACGCUGGCGGCAGGCUUAACACAUGCAAGUCGAGCGGGGGAAGGUAGCUUGCUACUGGACCUAGCGGCGGACGGGUGAGUAAUGCUUAGGAAUCUGCCUAUUAGUGGGGGACAACAUCUCGAAAGGGAUGCUAAUACCGCAUACGUCCUACGGGAGAAAGCAGGGGAUCUUCGGACCUUGCGCUAAUAGAUGAGCCUAAGUCGGAUUAGCUAGUUGGUGGGGUAAAGGCCUACCAAGGCGACGAUCUGUAGCGGGUCUGAGAGGAUGAUCCGCCACACUGGGACUGAGACACGGCCCAGACUCCUACGGGAGGCAGCAGUGGGGAAUAUUGGACAAUGGGGGGAACCCUGAUCCAGCCAUGCCGCGUGUGUGAAGAAGGCCUUAUGGUUGUAAAGCACUUUAAGCGAGGAGGAGGCUACUUUAGUUAAUACCUAGAGAUAGUGGACGUUACUCGCAGAAUAAGCACCGGCUAACUCUGUGCCAGCAGCCGCGGUAAUACAGAGGGUGCGAGCGUUAAUCGGAUUUACUGGGCGUAAAGCGUGCGUAGGCGGCUUAUUAAGUCGGAUGUGAAAUCCCCGAGCUUAACUUGGGAAUUGCAUUCGAUACUGGUGAGCUAGAGUAUGGGAGAGGAUGGUAGAAUUCCAGGUGUAGCGGUGAAAUGCGUAGAGAUCUGGAGGAAUACCGAUGGCGAAGGCAGCCAUCUGGCCUAAUACUGACGCUGAGGUACGAAAGCAUGGGGAGCAAACAGGAUUAGAUACCCUGGUAGUCCAUGCCGUAAACGAUGUCUACUAGCCGUUGGGGCCUUUGAGGCUUUAGUGGCGCAGCUAACGCGAUAAGUAGACCGCCUGGGGAGUACGGUCGCAAGACUAAAACUCAAAUGAAUUGACGGGGGCCCGCACAAGCGGUGGAGCAUGUGGUUUAAUUCGAUGCAACGCGAAGAACCUUACCUGGCCUUGACAUAGUAAGAACUUUCCAGAGAUGGAUUGGUGCCUUCGGGAACUUACAUACAGGUGCUGCAUGGCUGUCGUCAGCUCGUGUCGUGAGAUGUUGGGUUAAGUCCCGCAACGAGCGCAACCCUUUUCCUUAUUUGCCAGCGAGUAAUGUCGGGAACUUUAAGGAUACUGCCAGUGACAAACUGGAGGAAGGCGGGGACGACGUCAAGUCAUCAUGGCCCUUACGGCCAGGGCUACACACGUGCUACAAUGGUCGGUACAAAGGGUUGCUACACAGCGAUGUGA
rnacentral:rRNA from 1 species